rnacentral:rRNA from 1 species
AGAGUUUGAUCCUGGCUCAGGACGAACGCUGGCGGCAGGCUUAACACAUGCAAGUCGAGCGGGGAGAUGUAGCUUGCUACAUAUCCUAGCGGCGGACGGGUGAGUAAUGCUUAGGAAUCUGCCUAUUAGUGGGGGACAACAUUCCGAAAGGAAUGCUAAUACCGCAUACGCCCUACGGGGGAAAGCAGGGGAUCUUCGGACCUUGCGCUAAUAGAUGAGCCUAAGUCGGAUUAGCUAGUUGGUGGGGUAAAGGCCUACCAAGGCGACGAUCUGUAGCGGGUCUGAGAGGAUGAUCCGCCACACUGGGACUGAGACACGGCCCAGACUCCUACGGGAGGCAGCAGUGGGGAAUCUUCCGCAAUGGACGAAAGUCUGACGGAGCAACGCCGCGUGAGUGAGGAAGGCCUUCGGGUUGUAAAACUCUGUCUUCAGGGAAGAAAAAAAUGACGGUACCUGAGGAGGAAGCCACGGCUAACUACGUGCCAGCAGCCGCGGUAAUACGUAGGUGGCAAGCGUUAUCCGGAAUUAUUGGGCGUAAAGAGCAUGUAGGCGGGAAUUUAAGUCAGAUGUGAAAACUUGGGGCUCAACCUCAAGAUUGCAUCUGAAACUGAAUUUCUUGAGGGUAUGAGAGGAAAGCGGAAUUCCACGUGUAGCGGUGAAAUGCGUAGAGAUGUGGAGGAACACCUGUGGCGAAGGCGCCUUGCUGGCCGAUUUCUGACGCUGAGGCGCGAAAGCGUGGGGAGCAAACAGGAUUAGAUACCCUGGUAGUCCACGCCGUAAACGAUGAGUGCUAGGUGUUGGGGGGUACCACCCUCAGUGCCGAAGCUAACGCAUUAAGCACUCCGCCUGGGGAGUACGGUCGCAAGACUGAAACUCAAAGGAAUUGACGGGGGCCCGCACAAGCAGUGGAGCAUGUGGUUUAAUUCGAAGCAACGCGAAGAACCUUACCAAGACUUGACAUCCCGCUGACCGGUUUAGAGAUAGACCUUCCCUUCGGGGCAGCGGUGACAGGUGGUGCAUGGUUGUCGUCAGCUCGUGUCGUGAGAUGUUGGGUUAAGUCCCGCAACGAGCGCAACCCUUACGUUGUGUUGCCAUCAUUCAGUUGGGCACUCACAAUGGACUGCCGGUGACAAACCGGAGGAAGGCGGGGAUGACGUCAAAUCAUCAUGCCCCUUAUGUCUUGGGCUACACACGUGCUACAAUGGGCGGUACAAAGAGACGCGAGACCGCGAGGUGGAGCAAAUCUCAUAAAGCCGUUCACAGUUCGGAUUGCAGGCUGCAACUCGCCUGCAUGAAGCCGGAAUUGCUAGUAAUCGCGGAUCAGCAUGCCGCGGUGAAUUCGUUCCCGGGCCUUGUACACACCGCCCGUCACACCAUGGGAGUUGGUAACACCCGAAGUCGGUGAGGUAACUGCUUGCAGAGCCAGCCGCCUAAGGUGGGAUCGAUAACUGGGGUGAAGUCGUAACAAGGUAACCGU